AUGGAGGGGAUGGCAACCUCCUAUUUCAAAGAGAACAAGAAGUGCCGGGUGCCUUAUUUCAGAUUGGUCCUCUUAAGGCACCUGGCACGGACGGCUUUCAUGCUAGCCUGGGGUCAUGCCGGAUAUACUGCUAUCAUCCUAAUUCCUAAGGCAAGGAUUGUCAAAGGUUUGCUGAACAAUUAUGCAUCGGCGACAGGUCAACUUAUAAACCUGGCCAAGUGUUCCAUCCUUUUUUCUGAUAAUUGUCUAGAUGCGGUGGCAGAGGAGCUGAAGAAUCUCAUACGCUUGAUGAGACAGUACUGGUGGGGAGUUGAGAAAAGCGAGAAAAAGAUGGCGGGGCUAAGUUGGGACAAGAUGAGACUCCCUAGGUCGAGAGGUGGUAUGGGAUUCUGGGACAUUACCAAGGUAUCCAAAGAUUUUUUUGCUUGGUUUCCUGAGAAAAGUGGCCAGCUUACUGUCAGGAGCGCAUACCAUCUUGCCGCAAACCUCGUAACUAGGGCCGAGCGAGGAGGGAUACGACACAGGAGCGUUGCCACCGCCCGACCCGAGGAUCAGAGUUUCCCCUGGAGCAACACUACGGGCAAUGAAAGCCCCGACAACGCCUUCAAGAAGGGAACGAACUUCGCCGCCGCCGGUCCAUCCGAAGAUAGAACAGGUUUUCACCCCGGCCAACACUUACCGCCACCCAACGCCACACGUUGGUGA
rnacentral:rRNA from 1 species